rnacentral:rRNA from 1 species
CUUGAAACACGGACCAAGGAGUUCAACGUGUACGCGAGUCAUUGGGUGUAAAAACCUAAAGGCGUAAUGAAAGUAAAAGGAUAAAAUUUAUUGUGCACAUUGUGUACAAUUUUUUAUCCGAGGGAAGAUGUAAAUUUGUAUUAUUAAUGAUAAUAGUUACGGCUAUUUAUUAUUAAUAAUAAUUAAAAUUUACCGCAUUCCCGGGGCGCUUGUUUCUUGCUUUGCAAGUCAAUGCGCACCUAGAGCGUACACGCUGAUACCCGAAAGAUGGUGAACUAUGCCUGGCCAGGACGAAGCCAGGGGAAACCCUGGUGGAGGUCCGCAGCGAUUCUGACGUGCAAAUCGAUCGUCGGAGCUGGGUAUAGGGGCGAAAGACCAAUCGAACCAUCUAGUAGCUGGUUCCCUCUGAAGUUUCCCUCAGGAUA